rnacentral:rRNA from 1 species
ACGGAAGGCAGCAGUGGGGAAUAUUGGACAAUGGGGGCAACCCUGAUCCAGCGACGCCGCGUGAGUGAAGAAGUAUUUCGGUAUGUAAAGCUCUAUCAGUAGGGAAGAAAAAUGACAGUACCUAACUAAGAAGCACCGGCAAACUUCGUGCCAGCAGCCGCGGUAAUACGAGGGGUGCAAGCGUUGUUCGGAAUCACUGGGCGUAAAGGGAGCGCAGGCGGGGAUGCAAGCAGUCUGUACAAUACCGGGGCCCAACCCCGGACCUGCAGACUGGACUGUUUCCCUUGGAUAGCUCAGGGGCUGGCGGAAUUCCUGGUGUAGCGGUGGAAUGCGUAGAGAUCAGGAAGAACACCGAUGGCGAAGGCAGCCAGCUGGGGGCUUAUCGACGCUCAUGCUCGAAAGUGCGGGUAGCAAACAGGAUUAGAUACCCUGGUA